rnacentral:rRNA from 1 species
GAAAGGCGCUUUUGCGUCACUGAUGGAUGGACCCGCGGUGCAUUAGCUAGUUGGUGAGGUAACGGCUCACCAAGGCCACGAUGCAUAGCCGACCUGAGAGGGUGAUCGGCCACACUGGGACUGAGACACGGCCCAGACUCCUACGGGAGGCAGCAGUAGGGAAUCUUCGGCAAUGGACGAAAGUCUGACCGAGCAACGCCGCGUGAGUGAAGAAGGUUUUCGGAUCGUAAAACUCUGUUGUUAGAGGAGAACAAGGAUGAGAGUAGAACGUUCAUCCUUGACGGUAUCUAACCAGAAAGCCACGGCUAACUACGUGCCAGCAGCCGCGGUAAUACGUAGGUGGCAAGUGUUGUCCGGAUUUAUUGGGCGUAAAGCGAGCGCAGGCGGUUUCUUAAGUCUGAUGUGAAAGCCCCCGGCUCAACCGGGGAGGGUCAUUGGAAACUGGGAGACUUGAGUGCAGAAGAGGAGAGUGGAAUUCCAUGUGUAGCGGUGAAAUGCGUAGAUAUAUGGAGGAACACCAGUGGCGAAGGCGGCUCUCUGGUCUGUAACUGACGCUGAGGCUCGAAAGCGUGGGGAGCGAACAGGAUUAGAUACCCUGGUAGUCCACGCCGUAAACGAUGAGUGCUAAGUGUUGGAGGGUUUCCGCCCUUCA